CGGCGGCGCGGCGGAGCAGGAGGAACUGCACUACAUCCCCAUCCGCGUCCUGGGCCGCGGCGCCUUCGGGGAAGCCACGCUGUACCGCCGCACCGAGGAUGACUCACUGGUUGUGUGGAAGGAAGUCGAUUUGACCCGGCUGUCUGAGAAGGAACGUCGUGAUGCCUUGAAUGAGAUUGUUAUUCUGGCACUGCUGCAGCACGACAACAUUAUUGCCUACUACAAUCACUUCAUGGACAAUACCACGCUGCUGAUUGAGCUGGAAUAUUGUAAUGAUGGUGGUGUGGUACCUAUUUCAGAUUGUUUCAGCAGUGAGCUGCAUCCAUAAAGCUGGAAUCCUUCAUAGAGAUAUAAAGACAUUAAAUAUUUUUCUGACCAAGGCAAACCUGAUAAAACUUGGAGAUUAUGGCCUA
rnacentral:lncRNA from 1 species